rnacentral:rRNA from 1 species
GAUGAACGCUAGCUACAGGCUUAACACAUGCAAGUCGAGGGGCAGCAUGACGAUAGCUUGCUAUUGUUGAUGGCGACCGGCGCACGGGUGAGUAACGCGUAUCCAACCUGCCCUUGUCCAUCGGAUAACCCGUCGAAAGGCGGCCUAACACGAUAUGCAGUUCUCAGCAGGCAUCUAACGAGAACGAAAUGUAAAGGAGAAGGAUGGGGAUGCGUCUGAUUAGCUUGUUGGCGGGGUAACGGCCCACCAAGGCGACGAUCAGUAGGGGUUCUGGGAGGAAGGUCCCCCACAUUGGAACUGAGACACGGUCCAAACUCCUACGGGAGGCAGCAGUGAGGAAUAUUGGUCAAUGGGCGAGAGCCUGAACCAGCCAAGUAGCGUGCAGGAUGACGGCCCUAUGGGUUGUAAACUGCUUUUAUGCGGGGAUAAAGUGAGCCACGUGUGGCUUAUUGCAGGUACCGCAUGAAUAAGGACCGGCUAAUUCCGUGCCAGCCGCCGCCGUAA